GGGGACGAUCGGUUUCGACGGCGGCUUCGUUACAAGGGAAGCGGGCCGAGGAUGUGCAGCGAUCUCGCUAACCAUCUGCACAAACCAUUAGGUGCCGAACACAAGAGCACCGACUUCGCCCUCGCUGCCUAAGCGAGCUGCGUAGUCUGCUGACCCGGGGGUGCUUUCGACCCGGAUCUCAGUAUCAUCUAGAGAGCCACUGCUUCUCAGUCGCGUUGCCCGGCUGAGAGGGACUUUUAGGUAACUGAGCUCGUCGGCGGCUGGUUCGCGUGACCGCCGGAGCUGAGAACACGCAGUGCGAACUGCGCCCGGAGAAGUCUUGUUUCCAGGUCGUCGGACGCGGGUUCGAUUCCCGCCGUCUCCACUA
rnacentral:tmRNA from 1 species